rnacentral:misc_RNA from 1 species
UACGUAGGUGGCAAGCGUUGUCCGGAAUUAUUGGGCGUAAAGCGCGCGCAGGCGGUCCUUUAAGUCUGCUGUGAAAGCCCACGGCUCAACCGUUGAGGGUCAGUGGAAACUGGGGGACUUGAGUACAGAAGAGGAAAGCGGAAUUCCACGUGUAGCGGUGAAAUGCGUAGAGAGGUGGAGGAACACCAGUGGCGAAGGCGGCUUUCUGGUCUGUAACUGACGCUGAGGCGCGAAAGCGUGGGGAGCAACCAGG